GAAGCUGACCAGACAGUCGCCGCUUCGUCGUCGUCCUCCUUCGGGGGGGAGACGGGCGGAGGGGAGGAAAGUCCGGGCUCCAUAGGGCAAGGUGCCGAGGUAACGCCUCGGGGGGUGUCACAGCCCACGACCAGUGCAACAGAGAGCAAACCGCCGAUGGCCCGCGCAAGCGGGAUCAGGUAAGGGUGAAAGGGUGCGGUAAGAGCGCACCGCGCGGCUGGUAACAGUCCGCGGCACGGUAAACUCCACCCGGAGCAAGGCCAAAUAGGGGUUCAUAAGGUACGGCCCGUACUGAACCCGGGUAGGCUGCUUGAGCCAGUGAGCGAUUGCUGGCCUAGAUGAAUGACUGUCCACGACAGAACCCGGCUUAUCGGUCAGUUUCACCU
rnacentral:RNase_P_RNA from 1 species